GACGAACGCUGGCGGCGUGCUUAACACAUGCAAGUCGAACGGUAAGGCCCUUCGGGGUACACGAGUGGCGAACGGGUGAGUAACACGUGGGUGAUCUGCCCUGCACUUCAGGAUAAGCCUGGGGAACUGGGUCUAAUACCGGAUAGGACCACUGCCUGCAUGGGUGGUGGUGGAAAGCUUUUGCGGUGUGGGAUGGGCCCGCGGCCUAUCAGCUUGUUGGUGGGGUGAUGGCCUACCAAGGCGACGACGGGUAGCCGGCCUGAGAGGGUGACCGGCCACACUGGGACUGAGAUACGGCCCAGCCUCCUACGGGAGGCAGCAGUGGGGAAUAUUGCACAAUGGGCGCAAGCCUGAUGCAGCGACGCCGCGUGAGGGAUGACGGCCUUCGGGUUGUAAACCUCUUUCAGCACCGACGAAGCGCAAGUGACGGUAGGUGCAGAAGAAGGACCGGCCAACUACGUGCCAGCCGCCGCCGUAA
rnacentral:rRNA from 1 species